AACGCGAAGAACCUUACCUACCCUUGACAUCCUGCGAAUCUGGCUGAGAGGCUGGAGUGCCGAAAGGAACGCAGAGACAGGUGCUGCAUGGCUGUCGUCAGCUCGUGUUGUGAGAUGUUGGGUUAAGUCCCGUAACGAGCGCAACCCUUGUCCUUAGUUGCCAUCAUUAAGUUGGGGACUCUAAGGAGACUGCCGGUGAAGAAUCGGAGGAAGGCGGGGACGACGUCAAGUCAUCAUGGCCUUUAUCGGGUAGGGCUACACACGUGCUACAAUGGGGCGUACAGAGGGUCGCGAAGCCGUGAGGUGAAGCCAAUCUCAGAAAGCGCCUCGUAGUCCGGAUUGGAGUCUGCAACUCGACUCCAUGAAGUUGGAAUCGCUAGUAAUCGCGAAUCAGCAUUGUCGCGGUGAAUACGUUCCCGGGCCUUGUACACACCGCGAGC
rnacentral:rRNA from 1 species